rnacentral:lncRNA from 1 species
UGAAAGGAAAUGGCAUGUAUCUAAAGAACGUUACUGUGAGGAAUGUUUUGGCAGUAAAACGUGCCUCAGAGUAACGAAUUAUAAAACGUUACUAUGAGGAACAUUUUGGCUGUAAAACGUACCUCACAGUAACGAAUUAUAAAACGUUACUAUGAGGAACAUUUUGGCUGUAAAACGUACCUCACAGUAACGAAUUAUAAAACGUUACUAUGAGGAACAUUUUGGCUGUAAAACGUACCUCACAGUAACGAAUUAUAAAACGUUACUGACAGUAACGUUUUAUGUCUGUUAACUCCUCCAUCAAGCUUUUGUCUUUUUGCCAUUGAUUUUUUUUGAAUAAAAUAUAACCUAAAACGUUACUGAGAAA